rnacentral:rRNA from 1 species
GACGAACGCUGGCGGCGUGCUUAACACAUGCAAGUCGAACGGAAAGGCCCUGCUUUUGUGGGGUGCUCGAGUGGCGAACGGGUGCGUAACACGUGAGUAACCUGCCCUUGACUUUGGGAUAACUUCAGGAAACUGGGGCUAAUACCGGAUAGGAGCUCCUGCUGCAUGGUUUGGGUUGGAAAGUUUCGGCUGUUGGGGAUGGACUCGCGGCUUAUCAGCUUGUUGGUGGGGUAGUGGCGUACCAAGGCUUUGACGGGUAGCCGGACUGAGAGGGUGACCGGCCACAUUGGGACUGAGAUGCGGGCCAGACUGAUACGGGAGGCAGCAGUGAGGAAUAUUGCACAAUGGGCGGAAGCCUGAUGCAGCAACGCCGCGUGCGGGAUGACGGCCUUCGGGUUGUAAACCGCUUUCGCCUGUGACGAAGAGUGAGUGACGGUAAUAGGUAAAGAAGCACCGGCUAACUACGUG